rnacentral:rRNA from 1 species
CUGGGAUAAGCGCUGGAAACGGCGUCUAAUACCGGAUAUGAGCUGCGAUCGCAUGGUCAGCAGUUGGAAAGAUUUUUCGGUCUGGGAUGGGCUCACGGCCUAUCAGCUUGUUGGUGAGGUAAUGGCUCACCAAGGCGUCGACGGGUAGCCGGCCUGAGAGGGUGACCGGCCACACUGGGACUGAGACACGGCCCAGACUCCUACGGGAGGCAGCAGUGGGGAAUAUUGCACAAUGGGCGAAAGCCUGAUGCAGCAACGCCGCGUGAGGGAUGACGGCCUUCGGGUUGUAAACCUCUUUUAGCAGGGAAGAAGCGAAAGUGACGGUACCUGCAGAAAAAGCGCCGGCUAACUACGUGCCAGCAGCCGCGGUAAUACGUAGGGCGCAAGCGUUAUCCGGAAUUAUUGGGCGUAAAGAGCUCGUAGGCGGUUUGUCGCGUCUGCUGUGAAAUCCCGAGGCUCAACCUCGGGUCUGCAGUGGGUACGGGCAGACUAGAGUGCGGUAGGGGAGAUUGGAAUUCCUGGUGUAGCGGUGGAAUGCGCAGAUAUCAGGAGGAACACCGAUGGCGAAGGCAGAUCUCUGGGCCGUUACUGACGCUGAGGAGCGAAAGGGUGGGGAGCAAACAGGCUUAGAUACCCUGGUAGUCCACCCCGUAAACGUUGGGAA